UCCGGUUGAUCCCGCCGGACCUGACUGCUAUCGGAUUGAUACUAAGCCAUGCGAGUCGUUGUAGCAAUACAAGGCAUACGGCUCAGUAACGCGUAGUCAACCUAACCUAUGGACGGGAAUAACCUCGGGAAACUGAGAAUAAUGCCCGAUAGAACAUUAUGCCUGGAAUGGUUUAUGUUCCAAAUGAUUUAUCGCCAUAGGAUGGGACUGCGGCCUAUCAGUUUGUUGGUGAGGUAAUGGCCCACCAAGACUAUUACAGGUACGGGCUCUGAGAGGAGUAGCCCGGAGAUGGGUACUGAGACACGGACCCAGGCCCUAUGGGGCGCAGCAGGCGAGAAAACUUUGCAAUGUGCGAAAGCACGACAAGGUUAAUCCGAGUGAUUUCUGCUAAAGAGAUCUUUUGUUAGUCCUAGAAACACUAACGAAUAAGGGGUGGGCAAGUUCUGGUGUCAGCCGCCGCGGUAAAACCAGCACCUCAAGUGGUCAGGAUGAUUAUUGGGCCUAAAGCAUCCGUAGCCGGCUCUGUAAGUUUUCGGUUAAAUCUAUGCGCUCAACGUAUGGGCUGCCGAAAAUACUGUAGAGAUAGGGAGUGGGAGAGGUAGACGGUACUCGGUAGGAAGGGGUAAAAUCCUUUGAUCUAUCGAUGACCACCUGUGGCGAAGGCGGUCUACCAGAACACGUUCGACGGUGAGGGAUGAAAGCUGGGGGAGCAAACCGGAUUAGAUACCCGGGUAGUCCCAGCUGUAAACGAUGCAGACUCGAUGAUGCAUUGGCAUAUAGCCAGUGCAGUGUCGCAGGGAAGCCGUUAAGUCUGCCGCCUGGGAAGUACGUACGCAAGUAUGAAACUUAAAGGAAUUGGCGGGGGAGCACCACAAGGGGUGAAGCCUGCGGUUCAAUUGGAUUCAACGCCGGA
rnacentral:rRNA from 1 species